rnacentral:rRNA from 1 species
UACGUAGGGUGCAAGCGUUGUCCGGAAUUAUUGGGCGUAAAGAGCGUGUAGGCGGCCCGGUUAGUCCGCUGUGAAAGUCCAGGGCUCAACCCUGGAAUGCCGGUGGAUACUGUCGGGCUAGAGUCCGGAAGGGGCGAGUGGAAUUCCUGGUGUAGCGGUGAAAUGCGCAGAUAUCAGGAGGAACACCGGUGGCGAAGGCGGGACUCUGGGCCGAUACUGACGCUGAGGAGCGAAAGCGUGGGGAGCGAACAGG